rnacentral:rRNA from 1 species
GCAGUCGCCGCGGGAAUACAGAGGGUGCGAGCGUUAAUCGGAUUUACUGGGCGUAAAGCGUGCGUAGGCGGCUAAUUGAGUCGGAUGUGAAAUCCCCGAGCUUAACUUGGGAAUUGCAUUCGAUACUGGUUAGCUAGAGUGUGGGAGAGGAUGGUAGAAUUCCAGGUGUAGCGGUGAAAUGCGUAGAGAUCUGGAGGAAUACCGAUGGCGAAGGCAGCCAUCUGGCCUAAUACUGACGCUGAGGUACGAAAGCAUGGGGAGCAAACAGGAUUAGAUACCCCCGUAGUCCCUGUCUCUUAUAC